CUACAGGCUUAACACAUGCAAGUCGAGGGGCAGCAUGGUCUUAGCUUGCUAAGGCCGAUGGCGACCGGCGCACGGGUGAGUAACACGUAUCCAACCUGCCGUCUACUCUUGGACAGCCUUCUGAAAGGAAGAUUAAUACAAGAUGGCAUCAUGAGUCCGCAUGUUCACAUGAUUAAAGGUAUUCCGGUAGACGAUGGGGAUGCGUUCCAUUAGAUAGUAGGCGGGGUAACGGCCCACCUAGUCUUCGAUGGAUAGGGGUUCUGAGAGGAAGGUCCCCCACAUUGGAACUGAGACACGGUCCAAACUCCUACGGGAGGCAGCAGUGAGGAAUAUUGGUCAAUGGGCGAGAGCCUGAACCAGCCAAGUAGCGUGAAGGACGACUGCCCUAUGGGUUGUAAACUUCUUUUAUAAAGGAAUAAAGUCGGGUAUGGAUACCCGUUUGCAUGUACUUUAUGAAUAAGGAUCGGCUAACUCCGUGCCAGCAGCCGCGGUAAUACGGAGGAUCCGAGCGUUAUCCGGAUUUAUUGGGUUUAAAGGGAGCGUAGAUGGAUGUUUAAGUCAGUUGUGAAAGUUUGCGGCUCAACCGUAAAAUUGCAGUUGAUACUGGAUAUCUUGAGUACAGUUGAGGUAGGCGGAAUUCGUGGUGUAGCGGUGAAAUGCUUAGAUAUCACGAAGAACUCCGAUUGCGAAGGCAGCUUACUAACCUGUAACUGACAUUGAUGCUCGAAAGUGUGGGUAUCAAACAGGAUUAGAUACCCUGGUAGUCCACACGGUAAACGAUGAAUACUCGCUGUAGGCGAUAUACAGUCUGCGGCCAAGCGAAAGCAUUAAGUAUUCCACCUGGGGAGUACGCCGGCAACGGUGAAACUCAAAGGAAUUGACGGGGGCCCGCACAAGCGGAGGAACAUGUGGUUUAAUUCGAUGAUACGCGAGGAACCUUACCCGGGCUUAAAUUGCAGAUGAAUUACGGUGAAAGCCGUAAGCCGCAAGGCAUCUGUGAAGGUGCUGCAUGGUUGUCGUCAGCUCGUGCCGUGAGGUGUCGGCUUAAGUGCCAUAACGAGCGCAACCCUUGUUGUCAGUUACUAACAGGUUCCGCUGAGGACUCUGACAAGACUGCCAUCGUAAGAUGUGAGGAAGGUGGGGAUGACGUCAAAUCAGCACGGCCCUUACGUCCGGGGCUACACACGUGUUACAAUGGGGGGUACAGAGGGCCGCUACCACGCGAGUGGAUGCCAAUCCCCAAAACCUCUCUCAGUUCGGACUGGAGUCUGCAACCCGACUCCACGAAGCUGGAUUCGCUAGUAAUCGCGCAUCAGCCACGGCGCGGUGAAUACGUUCCCGGGCCUUGUACACACCGCCCGUCAAGCCAUGGGAGCCGGGGGUACCUGAAGUGCGUAACCGCGAGGAGCGCCCUAGGGUAAAACUGGUGACUGGGGCUAA
rnacentral:rRNA from 1 species